UUAUGAUUCCUAUUCUUCAUGGAAGCCUGUCUGGAUUCAUAUGCUUUUUUUUCUCCGUUGUCAAAAUUGUCACUUUUGAAUGGAGAUCAGAGCAGAAUUGAACUGAAGAUAAGUGGUCCAUGAAUGUGUAUUGUAGCAGAUGGAAGUACAGACAUGGAUUUAAGAGCUUUGAUGCUUUUGGAUGUUUAAUUCAGAUUUGGUAAAUGACGUGGAAUAAGAUACUGCCUGAACAAGCUGAAAUGCCUUGAAGACUUUUGGUUCUG
rnacentral:lncRNA from 1 species